GACGAAGGAUGCAAGCGUUAUCCGGAAUCAUUGGGCUUAAAGGGUGCGUAGGCGGCCUUGUAAGUCCGUGGUGAAAUCUCUUCGCUUAACGAAGAAACUGCCAUUGAUACUGCAGGACUUGAGUACAGAUGCUGUGGGCGGAAUAUGACAUGUAGUGGUGAAAUACAUAGAGAUGUCAUAGAACACCGAUUGCGAAGGCAGCUCACAAAACUGUAACUGACGCUGAGGCUCGAAAGUGCGGGGAUCAAACAGG
rnacentral:rRNA from 1 species